rnacentral:rRNA from 1 species
UACGAAGGGGGCUAGCGUUGCUCGGAAUCACUGGGCGUAAAGCGCACGUAGGCGGCUUCUUAAGUCAGGGGUGAAAUCCUGGAGCUCAACUCCAGAACUGCCUUUGAUACUGGGGAGCUAGAGUCCGGGAGAGGUGAGUGGAACUGCGAGUGUAGAGGUGAAAUUCGUAGAUAUUCGCAAGAACACCAGUGGCGAAGGCGGCUCACUGGCCCGGUACUGACGCUGAGGUGCGAAAGCGUGGGGAGCAAACAGG